rnacentral:rRNA from 1 species
AUUGAACGCUGGCGGCAGGCCUAACACAUGCAAGUCGAGCGAGAGGCGGACGGGUGAGUAAUGUAUGGGGACUGCCCGAAAGAGGGGGAUAACUACUGGAAACGGUGGCUAAUACCGCAUACUAUCGGAUAACCCAUAUGGGAUUAGCUAGUAGGUGGGGUAAAGGCUCACCUAGGCGACGAUCUCUAGCUGGUCUGAUAGGAUGAUCAGCCACACUGUGCCUGAGACACGGCCCAGACUCCUACGGAGGCAGCAGUGGGGAUUAUUUCCCAAUGGGCGCAAGCCUGAUGCAUCCAUGCCGCGUGUAUGAAGAAGGCCUCAGGGUUGUAAAGUACUUUCAUCGGGGAGGCGUUACCCGCAGAAUAUGCACCGGCUAACUCCGUGCCAGCCGCCGCGGUAAUUC